UGUGAAUCAGAUGAACUAAUCCACUGCAAAAUGGUGCUCAUCACUUUACUUUUAUUCUGUACUCUUGCAUGUGUCAGUUUUGGGAAUGUCAUCACACCAGUCCAGCCUGAGGUGUCUGGGACAGAGGGGGACAAUAUAACUCUGUCCUGUAACUACUCUUCAGCAGUUAGUCUGCAGUGGUAUCGCCAAUAUCCAAACUCAGCUCCUGAAUUUCUUUUGACAGUACUACAUAGGACAGGAAAAGUGUCACAGACGUCUAAAAUUGUAGAUCUAGAUCCUCGAUUCUCUGGAAAAGUGACUGAAAAGAAAACCCAUGUGGAUCUGGAGAUCUCCUCUGUUAAAAUGAAAGACUCUGCUCUGUACUACUGUGCUCUGGAGCCCACAGUGACAGGAAACACAACAACACUGUACAAAAACCUGACUUAUGUUACUCAUCCAGUGGGUUCAUUGUUAAUCAUCCAGGAAAUUUCUGCAGACAUUUGUUUGUGUUAG